GGGGCCUUAACGGUUUCGACGUGUUGGCGAAAGCUACACUGUGAUGCAGGUCGAGAGUGAGUCUCCUCUCGUAAAUCAAAGACUCAAACAAAAUGUAAUUGCGAACAAAGUCGUAAAAUUUGAGCGUCAAGCAGUAGCUGCUUAAUCUAAAAUUCGUACGCUCGCUUGCAAUUUGACUCCGUUAAGGAUUGUAGGCUAAACCCCAACGGAUGCACUGCCUAGCCGUCUCUAGUGGGCUAGUCAGUUAAGACCUUACUAGAGCAUCCCACCAUCCGGGAUAAGAGAUGGUUCCCGCUCUGAGGAUUAGAAGGGCUAAACCUGUGAACGAUCAGUUAGUCAAUACCCAACGCGGACACGGGUUCGACUCCCGUAGGCUCCAUAC
rnacentral:tmRNA from 3 species